rnacentral:rRNA from 1 species
UACGGGGGGGCAAGCGUUGUUCGGAAUUACUGGGCGUAAAGGCUCGUAGGCGGCCAACUAAGUCAUACGUGAAAUCCCUCGGCUUAACCGGGGAACUGCGUCUGAUACUGGAUGGCUUGAGAUUGGGAGAGGGAUGCGGAAUUCCAGGUGUAGCGGUGAAAUGCGUAGAUAUCUGGAGGAACACCGGUGGCGAAGGCGACUUCCUGGCCUGUUCUUGACGCUGAGGCGCGAAAGCUAGGGAGCAAACGGG